UCCUUUCUAGCUCACCUGUGACU
rnacentral:miRNA from 1 species